GAUGAACGCUGACAGAAUGCUUAACACAUGCAAGUCAAACUGUGGCGGACGGGUGAGUAACGCGUAAAGAACUUGCCUCACAGAUAGGGACAACAUUUGGAAACGAAUGCUAAUACCUGAUACUGUGAGAGAGCUUUGCGUCCCAUUAGCUAGUUGGAGAGGUAACGGCUCACGAAGGCGAGGAUGGGUAGCCUGCCUGAGAGGGUGAUCGGCCACAAGUGGACUUGGACACAGCCCUUAGUCCUUGGUGAGGUAGCAGUGGGGAAUAGUGGACACGGGACCGAAGUCUGAUGAAGCAAUUCGGGGUGCAAGAUGAAGUUGUCGGGAUGAAAAUUGUGUUCAGUUGGGAAGCAGUACCAGCAGAAGAAGUGACGGCUAAAUACGUGCCAGCAGCCGCGGUAAUUC
rnacentral:rRNA from 1 species